rnacentral:rRNA from 1 species
CCUACGGGAGGCAGCAGUGAGGAGUAUUGGUCAAUGGACGAGAGUCUGAACCAGCCAAGUAGCGUGAAGGAUGACUGCCCUAUGGGUUGUAAACUUCUUUUAUAUGGGAAUAAAACAGGGUAUGCAUACCCUCUUGUAUGUACCAUAUGAAUAAGGAACGGCUAACUACGUGCCAGCAGCCGCGGUAAUACGGAGGAUCCGAGCGUUAUCCGGAUUUAUUGGGUUUAAAGGGAGCGUAGGUGGAUUGUUAAGUCAGUUGUGAAAGUUUGCGGCUCAACCGUAAAAGUGCAGUUGAAACUGGCAGGCUUGAGUACAGUAGAGGUGGGCGGAAUUCGUGGUGUAGCGGUGAAAUGCUUAGAUAUCACGAAGAACUCCGAUGGCGAAGGCAGCUCACUGGACUGCAACUGACACUGAUGCUCGAAAGUGUGGGUAUCAAACAGGAUUAGAUACCCGAGUAGUC